rnacentral:rRNA from 1 species
UUCCGUAGGGGGAACCUGCGGAGGGAUCAUUACUGAGUUUACGCUCUACAACCCUUUGUGAACAUACCUACAACUGUUGCUUCGGCGGGUAGGGUCUCCGCGACCCUCCCGGCCUCCCGCCUCCGGGCGGGUCGGCGCCCGCCGGAGGAUAACCAAACUCUGAUUUAACGACGUUUCUUCUGAGUGGUACAAGCAAAUAAUCAAAACUUUUAACAACGGAUCUCUUGGUUCUGGCAUCGAUGAAGAACGCAGCGAAAUGCGAUAAGUAAUGUGAAUUGCAGAAUUCAGUGAAUCAUCGAAUCUUUGAACGCACAUUGCGCCCGCCAGCAUUCUGGCGGGCAUGCCUGUUCGAGCGUCAUUUCAACCCUCAAGCUCUGCUUGGUGUUGGGGCCCUACAGCCGAUGUAGGCCCUCAAAGGUAGUGGCGGACCCUCCCGGAGCCUCCUUUGCGUAGUAACUUUACGUCUCGCACUGGGAUCCGGAGGGACUCUUGCCGUAAAACCCCCCAAUUUUCCAAAGGUUGACCUCGGAUCAGGUAGGAAUACCCGCUGAACUUAAGCAUAUCAAUAAGCGGAGG